GGGGAGAUCUUUUUAAUUAUUAUUUCGACAUUAUCGAUACACUUGUCAAAAGGUCAUCGAGUUUUUGGCGUCAUUGUCGGGGAUUAUUGAUUUCAACAAAGCAGUUUUUGUGCGACGGCUUUAAGUUUCGUAAUUAUUUUUUUAUAGUUUUUUUAGUUAAAUUUUUGUUAUUGUAAAUUUUUUCGCUUUAUUCAAGUUUUCUAAUUUUUGUUCUUAUUUAUUUUUUAGCUAGUCCAGUGUUACUGAGGUAUUU
rnacentral:lncRNA from 1 species